rnacentral:rRNA from 1 species
AACGCAGGUGGUUUGGUAAGUCAGGGGUGAAAGUCCACAGCUUAACUGUGGCACUGCCUUUGAUACUACCUUUCUUGAGUGCAUGAGGGGGAAGCGGAAUUCCGAGUGUAGAGGUGAAAUUCGUAGAUAUUCGGAGGAACACCGGUGGCGAAGGCGGCUUCCUGGCAUGUAACUGACACUCAUGUUCGAAAGCGUGGGGAGCAAACAGGAUUAGAUACCCUGGUAGUCCACGCCCUAAACGAUGGGCACUAGGUGUGGGAGGUAUCGACCCCUUCCGUGCCGCAGCUAACGCAUUAAGUGCCCCGCCUGGGGAGUACGGCCGCAAGGUUGAAA